UACAGAGGGGGCAAGCGUUGUUCGGAAUUACUGGGCGUAAAGGGCGCGUAGGCGGCCUGUUAAGUCGAACGUGAAAUCCCCGGGCUCAACCCGGGAACUGCGUCCGAAACUGGCAGGCUUGAAUCCGGGAGAGGGAUGUGGAAUUCCAGGUGUAGCGGUGAAAUGCGUAGAUAUCUGGAGGAACACCGGUGGCGAAGGCGGCGUCCUGGACCAACACUGACACUGAUGAGCGAAAGCCAGGGGAGCAAACGGG
rnacentral:rRNA from 1 species